AGAGCAGGUGGGGCCCCGCCAGGGCCGCCGCCUGAGGCGGUGAAGAAGGCUGCAGCUAUCACCAGGUCUGCUCAUGAACUAAACCGCAGAGGACAAGACACAGCAAAUUUGUGUUUUGGAGAGUAGAGAAAAUUAAACCAGACAAAUCCCUGGGACGCUCUGAUGACAAGGAAGAGAAGCUUCAGGGGUGAGGAACGGAGGACGGGGACACUCACCUUUACAGACGAAGCACUUGAUGUGGAAAUACUUGUUCUGGACCCUCAGCACCUCACCCUUGCACACGUUCCCGCAGGUGUUGCACAGGAUGGCCGUGCUGGGCGGCUUCUCCAGGGGGCUGUGAGCAGCCUGGGGCUCCGACACUGCAGGGGGAGCAGCCACGUUAGAUACCGGGGUGCACCGCGCACAGGCCAGGAAACCGGCGACUGCGCCCCGCCAGCUCAAGCCCCGAGGGCGUCAGGAGACAGACUGGUCUUCCUUCCCGGGGGACCAGAGGGCAGCGGAGACCUGAGCUCCUUCCACGACGCCCGCACGUGGCCAUGUGCCCCCAUCGCUGUGUGCUCGUCUGUGUGGGGCGGGGAUCGCAGCCCCGCCCCAAAGGGCAUCCUGUUCUCCUGCUGUCUCCCCUGAGCUGAGGGUCCCUUCCGCUGCCGGGAGGCCCACACUACUCCCUUCUGCCAGAGCAGGAAGCAUGGCAAGUCCCUCUGUGUGCUGGGGACGUGGACCUGAGUCCCGCCACGGCCUGGGAUGUUCAUGGAGCUGCCAGAAACCCACUGAGGACAGUCGUGGUGGGCAGUUAAAGGGCCCAGCCGUGGGGCUCCUGGGGCCUGGGCAGGGCCACAUGCUCCUCUUCCCCACCCUCCCCCUGUGGAGGCCGGCAGACAGGACGAGGGGGCCCCCAGCAAGCCGACCCCUUAAGGAGCCCACGCCUGGCAGUGGAGACAGCCCAAGGGGCAGAGCUGAGGCUGGGGGAGGCCCAGGGGUUGGGGACCAGCAGAGUCACAUGAAACACAGGGAGGAGCUGGCCGCAUGGCAGAGAGCAUGGCCCAUGUCAUAGGGACCUGAGCUGGGUGGAUUCUUCUGACUCAGGACCAAAAGGAGGAAACCAAACCUGACCAGCCACGUGGACGCCCCCUUCCGGUGGCCUCCCGGCCUCCUGACCUCCCGGCCUCCCCACCUCCUUGGCAGGUGCAUGCAUGCACACGCACGCACGCACACACACACACACACACCCAUUAACACGAUUCUCUAACACCA